rnacentral:rRNA from 1 species
UACGUAGGGGGCUAGCGUUGUCCGGAAUCAUUGGGCGUAAAGCGCGUGUAGGCGGUCCGGUAAGUCCGCUGUGAAAGUCGGGGGCUCAACCCUCGGAUGCCGGUGGAUACUGUCGGGCUCGAGUCCGGAAGAGGCGAGUGGAAUUCCUGGUGUAGCGGUGAAAUGCGCAGAUAUCAGGAGGAACACCAAUGGCGAAGGCAGCUCGCUGGGACGUGACUGACGCUGAGACGCGAAAGCGUGGGUAGCAAACAGG